GUCUGUUCAGUUACCUUUGGCAAUUCAAGCCGAAUUGAUCACUUUUUGAGAUUCUUUGAGUUAAUUUGAGAACAGCACGGUUUUUGAAUAACUCUUAAGAUGACACGUCUAGACAUCAACAAUUAUGCCACCAGAAAGUCUUUUGUGCAAGGUAUGCUUGAUUUGGCCUUACUCACUGCAAAUGCCGCCCAACUUAAAUAUCUUCUGAGUGUUGGCGAAGCUCAUCCGUUUUAUACAAUUCUGUUUUCCCUAAUAAUCAGCUCUAUAUCAUUGCAGGUGGUUCAAGCAAUUAUUAUAAUAAUACUCGUAUUGGUGCUGAAUAUCAACAAAACUGAAGAGCAAAACAAAUCGAAUAUUGUAAACAACGUGCUGAUGUGCAUUUCAAUAGUGUCUGUCGUUAUCAACAUAAUCAUAAGUGCCUUUGAUAUGAGGAAUGAAGUUUUGAGGAAAUAAAUUUAAGAAUAUAGAGUGCUGCUGCAAAUCAAUAUCAAUCAGGCAGCAAAACACUAAAAGCUUUUUCUGCUGGCCUGACGAAAAUUCAAUUUAAAUCCAAAUCUCAUUGGACUAUCCAUCAAGAGUCGUGUCAUCUCAAAUUCCUUCUGAGUUGCCGUUGCAAUCUACGGCUCUAUGUAACGCCCCGACAGGGGGCAGCAGGUAUAAUUAAAUUUCUCGCAUCAAGGUACACUUCGAAAGGAAAAAUCUUUGAUCACCAGCAACAGCAUCCCGAGCAUAAAACGUGUCCACAUCCAUUUCUGAGCUGAACACCAUGGCAAUGGUCAGAGUCCUUCUGUCCCCCGCUACAUAAGCCAAGCCAUCCUCAGAGGAGUAUGACCGAGGUCAGGCCGGAUCUCGGAGCUGGCCCAGAUUACAUUAGAAAUUAAUUUGAAUAAAUGAAAAGCUUUUAAAACACUUUGGUGUGAUAAAAAUUUGCUUUUCGUGAUGCUCCGAUAAAAGCGACUACGACGCCAUCAUCAUCCGGCAAUCCGGCAAAAUUCCAAGGACCAACCCCUCAGACGCGGAGGGUGACUUCAACAAGCGACUGGCUGGAAAAUUCCCCCUCAGGUUAAGG